UUUACUAAAUGACCAUAAUGCCCUUGGUCCGCCAUCUUCCUUCAGCCAAUCUCCUCUCUGCAUCUUUCUCCAAACCCCUGCGUUUCCUCUCAAUGGCGACCAAGACCCACUUGGAUUCCAUCGAUUCCCAGGUCAAAAACGACCCCACAAGUCUCCAAAAUUACCCAGUACCCCUGUCCCCACCACUGCCCUCCAUAUCCAAGAACAUAGAGCUCAACAGAGCCUUAACUGCUUCUUCAAGAUCGUCCCUUUUUUCUCUUUCAAGAAAUCAUGUGCUUUUUGAAGACCAGUGGCUCAUUGCUAUUAACAAGCCUCAAGGGAUUUACUGUGAGAAUGUCUUGUCUGCUGUCCCGAGCCUACUCACCGAUUCCACUGACUCAGGGACUGAAGUGAAGCUGACGGAGCUUCAUCUAGCUAAUAGACUUGAUCGUGACACUAGUGGUAUCAUGAUAAUUACCAAGUCACAUAAAGUGGCUGCCAAGCUUGUAAAAGCUUUUACAGAACACAAGGUCAGGAAAACAUACAUAGCUUCCUGUGUUGGUCAAGCUCCAAAAUGGGUAAAUAUCACAAUGAAGUCCGGUCAUGGACGAUCAAGGUACGGAGCCUGGCGUGUUUAUGCUGCUUCAGAUGUGGGCAAGACACUACCAGGCGGAUCAAUUGUCAAGGAUAUGGAAACCUUAUUUGAAGUGCUAUCAGUAAAUGGGCAGGGGCAAUUUAAAGAGUUUUCUGAAUCAGGAAGAGACAUAUCAGAAGUUAUGAUUAUUGAACAGAAAUCUGAAAUUGAUUGCAACUUGAAGAAAGAUGAGAUUUUGGUAAGAGCAUACCCCAAGAGUGGAAGAACACAUCAAAUUCGCUUGCACUGCCAGUACCUGGGAAUGCCUAUUAGAGGGGAUGUAAAAUAUGAAGGUGCCUAUGAGUGGAAAGAAAGAACAUAUGAUGGUCAUGAGCUUCACGCAGAGAGCUUGUCCUUUGAGCAUCCUGUUACUGCUGAAAAUGUGUUAAUUCAAGCACCUCUACCAUCGUGGGCUUGCCAAUUUUUUGAGUCUGAGCCAUUGUGGACAAACUAAAGCUUUCAAAGUUCUAGGAAUCAUGUAGCAAGAUACUACUCCUGUUCAGUUCCACAAUAGCACAUUAGUCCUGAUUUACAUUCAUUAUUAACAAGCCGCAGAAGGUUUUGGUGCGCUGCUUAAUGAGAUAACUUAUUGCAUCUGUGUAUUGCUGUCGAUGAUAUAAGAAUCAUGCGAUUUGGAGAUGAGAUUGCUCCUACAUUGCAGCAGAUGGACUAGUGCAUAAUUGAGGUAUAAGUAAUCAUCUUUAAAUUCAAAAUGAGCAUCUCAGGGAUUACUGCAGCGAGGAACAUACACAGGAAACAGCAAAGAAUCAUGAUCCUCUUCUGCUAGAAGUUCACGAUAGCUGCGACUAGGAUAUGUGCUUUAUGCCUGGAAACCUGGAUCAAAACUCAUCGUGUUUGACCAGAAACAGCCAGUAAUUGGUCUUUGACUUCCAAGUUGCUGGGUGGACUUAGGAUUCUGCUUUGAGUAAUUAAAUGUCAUAGAGCCUCUUUCUUUGCUCUAAACAGUGAGGUGCUCGUUGGGCAAAUAUAAAAUCUAGGAUUUGGCUGGUUCAAUAAGACCAGGUAUUUGUUAGGUGAAUAGACUUGCCAACAUUUAUAGUUAAGUGUACGGAAUUUCGUGUUGAAUAUCUGGUCCAAACCAUAGUUUUUGCAUUUCCAUUUAUUAUCCGUCCGUCCUUUUUAUUCGUUUACUAAAGUUGAUGAGACUUGUACUGAAGCACAGAGAGUGGCAUCUUAGUAAUGCCCUAAGGUAAUAGAAUUUUAUGAUUAACUCGUUAAUUUCCACUUUGUAGUUUUCCAGCCGCCUAUUCGGAUUGUUUGCAGCCAUGUGAAAUUGAAGAUUCUAAAGUCCUGGAGUUCUGUUCUUUCCUCUUUUAGGUUCUCUUGUCUGAAAUGAGUUGAAUUAUUUCUCUCUGUACUGUGAAGUAAAACUAUCCAUGAUAUAUAAGGAAUUUCGGAUUUCUCGAGUGAUGUUUUUUGGAUCGUUAGCAGUUAUGAAAAUUGACUUGCUACAUGUUCUUCUAUGCCAGAUUAAACAACAGCAGUCUGAUGUUCCAGAACUGAUGUAAAUUUUCACAGGGACGCCCAUAUGUGCAUCAAAUUUCAAUCUUGGAUACAGAUCAGAACGUGGGUUUCCAUGAACUAUGAUUAAUUAAAAGAGGUAUAAAUGUGAAUUCAAGACGCAGCAAAGGUGGGGAGAUUCAUUGCCAAGAAUACAAAUAAAGUUCUUUUACUUUUUCUGAUAUCCUUUCACGAUGAAACUUUCAAAUGAAGAUCUCGACCAUUGACUUUCCUGAAGGAACUUGCUGCGUGGCUACUAGCUACAGAGUACAGAGUCGCCUUGGACAUCAAGCAUCAGCACUUCAAAAGAGGCAACUUUGGACUUUUGUCACCUUAAUUGCUAAAAUAUAUUCCUCUUAUCUUAAAAAUUAAAACCCUUUUAGCUAACAGGAUUUCCAUACCAAACCUGUUGCAUAUGUAAUCAUGUCGUUAAGUUGACUGGAUGUUUAGGCAUGCAUUACUCCUCUCUUUCUCUGUAGACAUGGGACGUAAAUUUUUAUUACUCCUCUUAAGGAAUUUGACUGUCAUGGUGCAGUUACAUUUAUUGCCCGUAAAA